UAUCCAUCCUUUUUCAGUGCCUUUUCCCAUUGCUUCCCGAACCACAAAAAUUCCUUUAAAAAAAAUUAAAAUCGGAUUUGUUGUAGCAAGGCAACAGCGCACUUUCAGGAGUAAUUUGGGUGAGUGGGUGGCAUAGCAGAGCCAAUACUGCUUACCAGUAGGGAGGAGGGUGAUAGGACCAUGUGCCCUCCGCAACUGCUGUUGAGUGCUUUAAUUCACUUUUAUUGCACAAAUCUAAAUUUCUAGUACAGUAUGUACUUAAAUCUCUCCUGCAAAACACUGAGAGUCUGAAGGUGACCAAAGUCUACAUUGCUUUUGUAGUCAGUUUUGAGGCAGGUAAGACAUGGCAAGAGAUGCUGGCUCUUGCAUGAGUGGAGUAGCAGUGAUGAAGCUCUGAUGUCAGGGAGGAAGUGAUACAAACCAGGGAAGUAAAGGUGUAGAUGAGGUUCAGCAACUUGAGAGCCGCUCCCAAAAGGUAGCAGGUUUGAGACUACCGUCCCUGGAUCUAGGGCGGAGGGAACAGUGACAGAGAUAUGAAAGAUGUGCAAUAUUAAGCCUGUUGUACCUGAGAAGCAUGAUUCACAUCUGCAUUGUACUCUGCUUUUGAAUGAAGAAUUUUUCAAGAAUUUCUGGAACUGUGAUAAAUUUUCCAUACGCUUAGCUGUAAUGGCAGAGUCCAUUAUCAUGGUGCACUGUUACUCAUGUGCCAGAGUAGCCUCCCUUUGACUCCACAACACUGUCUGGUAGGAAGAGCCAGUCCAUCUCAGUUCUUACCGCCUUUUAGAGGUGAUUACUGGUGUUAAUUGUGUCUUCCUCCACCACCCAUUGCUCACAUGGGUUCCCCCUCAUUGAUCAAUUGCCCUUUUAGCUGUCAGUCAUCCCAAUUAAACAGCAUAAAAAAUGGCACCACUUGGUUGUUAAACUUCAAGCAAAUUCAGAGGCUGCCCACUGCAGAAGUGACCAUAGAUGCAAGUCUUUGUUACGUUUAUUUGCCUAAUGUAGGACUAGAUAGUUUUAUACUAGAUUACAAGUGAAUGGCAGCAGGAAGAGAUGAUCAUGGCAGGACACCUGUUGCCAUUGGGCUACUUUACGGGGUUUGCGCUGAAACAGCAUGUUGCUGUUCAUGGAAGGAAUAUAGUGCACAGUUUAUGUGAAUAUGCUGUAAUAUUGUUGCACACCACCGCAAUCUCCGGGUGGUGCAAGAUUUCAGGAGUUUCAGGUGCUCACCUGGGGUUCUUGUUUCCUUUUGGGAAUGACGCACAGCAGAGUCUGUGGGUCCUUUGUGAAAUAUGGUUGAUUUACACAUACAUACAACCUGAAUCUAUGAGGGAGGGGUUUGCAGCAUCAACACUCUAAGGGGGUCUUGCUCCUCCCAUAGCUGCAGCCUUGGAUUCAAACAGAGACCAUCCAUUGCUCUGCCUCUCUAGCUUUUGAGCUUGCUUCCUUUCUUCUAUUGUGACAUCACUCCUAACCUCUCAACUCUAGCUUUAUCUGUUGUGGGCAGGGGGUCCUACCAAUUUUCUGUCUCCCACCAAGCCCCUUUGAUCCUUUAAUGGCCCAUUUCCUCAAUGGCAAUCACUUCACAAGGAAGCUAGCCUGGCUCAAUUUACUUUUUGUUUUUUUUUUUUAAAAUAUUUUAUUAAGGAUUUUCUUGUUUUACAGGCUCAAUUUACUUUUAACACUAUCUAGAUCCAGGUUUUAACCCCUCAAGCCUUUAUUAAAUUCUAAUGCUUGAUGAAUCUGGGAAUUAUAGGAGCCUAGCACCCACAAACUCUUAACAGUGUGCAUGUGGUGGUGUAAAGUAGCAGCUCAUAUCUGCAUUGUGGGGAUGAGCAGAGGAAGCAUGUCUUCCCUUGUGGAUAAUUGCCAAAAUAUGUAUAUAUGUGAAUAAAUUUUCUAAAGCUUACUUCAGGUCUAAUGGGCAGGAUCCACUGAACCAGUUUAAGCAUGCCCAAGGUCGUCUUGAGUGUGCCUGCGGGGAUUUCUUUCUUUCUAGGCAUGUCCCAUGUCAUGCCAUAAGCUGGUUUUGAAAUUCCUCUGAUUGAAAAAUGUUUUUCUGUGUUAUAUGAAGGGCUGCUGUUCAAGAAAUACCACCCAAAGAUUAUUUGGGCACUCAAAACUUUUGUAGCUUCUUUGGAUCCUGGCCUUACAUGAUAAACCAAGAAGAACCUUACAUUAGCUUAGGUUUACAAGAUGCAGCUCAAUUCUGGAAUAAAAAACAAUGUUUAUUAUUAUGUAACUAGUUAUAUGCCUAAUCCAAACUGUGGGUGAUGUUCAGCAUUUUAUAGCUUUUGUAAACAGAAUAACACAGCAUGCUGCAUGGUGAAAUAUUUUGAGACAAUUUCUAAAUUAUUUUCUCCAAGGAAAACAUUUAUCCGCUUAGGGCGCCGUGCCAACCCUUGGCUGGCAGCAGAUGGGACUGAUGUAAUGGUGCAGUGCAUGCUGCAUGCGCACAGCCCCAGAGCGUCUACACGAUGGGAUGGAAGGUGUCCGUUUGAUGAGCCAGCUCCCAGGCUGUUGCAGCAAAGAGGCCUAGACUGGGCCCACUGCUGUAACGUGAUGGCAGCAGAGUCCACACAGGAUCCAGUAGAACCGGUGGAGGCCCAGUCCCAAUUCUGAAAUGCCCUGUUUGAGUUGCUUCUGCUAGUGGUAGCUUCUGUCAACUAUUGAGCAGGCAGAAUGGGGCACCGGCAGUAGCUGGCAGAACCAGGUAGGGCUGGGAGGAGAGACAUCGCCAAUCCCACAGCAGCCCUAAAAUCCCGAAGCUUGGGUCAGCCUCUCUCUAUUCAGGAUGUUGCUUAUUCUAUUCUAAAAAGGUAUCGGAUUGGCUUCAGCAAAUCUCACAAGAGACCUUGUAUAGAUACAGACAGUUCCUAAUUUUAUAAAUUUCAUUUCCCACCUUAAUGAUGUUUCUUGGGCCCAAAACACUUUGGAGUAAGAAACAACUUGUGGUAAAACUGCAGCUGUUCUGGCCUCUUCCAACAUCAUCAACACCACACACACACACACACACACACACACACAGACACAGAGUUUCUGGUCAAUUUGCAUAACCAGUUAUCAAUGUGGGAAGAGGAAGGCUGUGAGUGAGUUUCUUUGAAGCUAGAAACUCUUGCAGCAUUUUUGAAAGGGAGUAUUGGGAACAAUUAGGAAUCAUUCUUCCUCAUCCCUCAGAAUUUGAUGAAUGACUAUGAACCUGCUAUCUGUUACUGGAAAGUCACUAGAAAAUCUAGUACUGCAUCAUGCCCAACAUAUUGCACAUAAAAGAGCAAUAAAAUUGAGUGGCACCUAUAUCUCAGAGGGAACCUUGACUUACAUAACUUUGGCUACAAUCCUAACACCAAUUACUUGAGAACAAGCCUGAUUGAAUUCAGUAGGACUUACUUCUGCAUAGACAUGAUUAGGAUUGUGCUGGAAAUGUUGAAAGGCAAGUUCAAUAAUCUACUCUUCCUCAGCCCUCCAAAUUUGAUUGAGGACUAUGAUCCUUCUACUUGUUAC
rnacentral:lncRNA from 1 species